rnacentral:rRNA from 1 species
GUGGGGAAUUUUGGACAAUGGGCGCAAGCCUGAUCCAGCAAUGCCGCGUGCAGGAAGAAGGCCUUCGGGUUGUAAACUGCUUUUGUACGGAACGAAACGGUCCUGGUUAAUACCUGGGGCUAAUGACGGUACCGUAAGAAUAAGCACCGGCUAACUACGUGCCAGCAGCCGCGGUAAUACGUAGGGUGCAAGCGUUAAUCGGAAUUACUGGGCGUAAAGCGUGCGCAGGCGGUUUUGUAAGACAGGCGUGAAAUCCCCGGGCUCAACCUGGGAAUUGCGAUUGUGACUGCAAGGCUGGAGUGCGGCAGAGGGGGAUGGAAUUCCGCGUGUAGCAGUGAAAUGCGUAGAUAUGCGGAGGAACACCGAUGGCGAAGGCAAUCCCCUGGGCCUGCACUGACGCUCAUGCACGAAAGCGUGGGGAGCAAACAGGAUUAGAUACCCGGGUAGUCC